rnacentral:lncRNA from 1 species
AGUGGGCGUGCAGGAGAAGCUGUAGGUCAGGAGGUAGAGUUGGCAGUGGGCGUGCAGGAGAAGCUGUAGGUCGGAGAGGUAGAGUUGGCAGUGGGCGUGCAGGAGAAGCUGUAGGUCGGAGAGGUAGAGGUGGCAGUGGGCGUGCAGGAGAAGCUGUAGGUCGGAGAGGUAGAGGUGGCAGUGGGCGUGCAGGAGAAGCUGUAGGUCGGGGGGUAGAGGUGGCAGUGGGCGUGCAGGAGAACCUGUAGGUCAGAGUGGAGAGGUGGCAGUGGGCGUGCAGGAGAAGCUGUAGGUCAGGGGGUAGAGGUGGCAGUGGGCGUGCAGGAGAAGCUGUAGGUCAGGGGGUAGAGGUGGCAGUGGGCGUGCAGGAGAAGCUGUAGGUCAGGAGGUAGAGGUGGCAGUGGGCGUGCAGGAGAAGGUGUAGGUCAGGGGGUAGAGGUGGCAGUGGGCGUGCAGGAGAAGCUGUAGGUCGGGAGGUAGAGGUGGCAGUGGGCGUGCAGGAGAAGCUGUAGGUC